rnacentral:tRNA from 1 species
GGUUCCAUGGUGUAAUGGUUAGCACUUCAGACUCUGAAUCUGGGAAUCCGAGUUCAAUCCUCGGUGGGACCU